rnacentral:rRNA from 1 species
UCGAUGAAGAACGCAGCGAAAUGCGAUAACUAAUGUGAAUUGCAGAAUUCAGUGAAUCAUCGAGUCUUUGAACGCACAUUGCGCCCCCUGGUAUUCCGGGGGGCAUGCCUGUCCGAGCGUCAUUGCUGCCCUCAAGCACGGCUUGUGUGUUGGGCUCCGUCCCCCCGGGGACGGGUCCGAAAGGCAGCGGCGGCACCGAGUCCGGUCCUCGAGCGUAUGGGGCUUUGUCACCCGCUCUGUAGGCCCGGCCGGCGCCAGCCGACAACCAAUCAUCCUUUUCAGGUUGACCUCGGAUCAGGUAGGGAUACCCGCUGAACUUAA